rnacentral:rRNA from 1 species
GACGAACUGUGCAAACGUUAUUCGGAAUCACUGGGCUUGAAGAGUGCGUAGGCGGUUUUGUAAGUAGGGUGUGAAAGCCCCCGGCCUAACCGGGGAAUUGCGCCCUAAACUGCAAGGCUGGAGUGAGGUAGGGGUGUGUGGAACUUCUAGUGGAGCGGUGAAAUGUGUUGAUAUUAGAAGGAACGCCGGUGGCGAAAGCGACACACUGGACCUUGUCUGACGCCGAGGCACGAAAGCCAGGGGAGCAAACGGG